CUGCUUACUGCUGUGCUGUUGCUAUUAGACAGUCCAGCUAGUCCUCCUCUGCUGGUAAGAUUCGACUGGUGUGAGGCAGCAGAGUGCCUUUUAUUACCUAUGAAGAAGAUUUGAGACCUGGCGUAACCUGCGGAAUUUGGCGAAUCAACAUGAAUAAACUAAUCAUCGACUGUUAUUCAUAGUGUUGACGCCAUCAUAUGGGAGGUUGGCUCGAUCUGUGCCUGCAGCAAGGUGUGUCAUACAGUUUGAGGUGAUCAGUCGAAUGCACAGUUUUACAGGUGUUGGACUGGAUGACUGGCCAACAAGGGGGGAGAGGCUGCCCCAACGCCCGGGAUUCGCAUCUGAAUUCUCUCUCAUUCCACUCCAGUCCUUCAACCAGGACAGAUGUCCAAGCCAGCCUGCGCAUAGGCCUACAAAGGCGCUAACUGGUGCCCCGACCUCGGACAAAGCCGACGCCAUAUUCAACAAAGGUCCACUUACAUAAUGCAUCCAGAUUUUUGCUGAGUCACGUGUCAUGUCUCCUCGCUCGCAAGUGCUUCCUUAACACAAGAUACCUAUGAUAAAUUUUGGAAACCAGCAUUGAAGUAAAUUUGAUUUUAGCCAGCUCUCUCCUAUUGUGAGAGAUAGGAGUGGUCGACGUGUGGCCAAGUUGCCUUGCCUUAUCCCAGGCCAUUCA